GAGAGGACCGGAGUGGACGCAUCACUGGUGUUCGGGUUGUCAUGCCAAUGGCACUGCCCGGUAGCUAAAUGCGGAAGAGAUAAGUGCUGAAAGCAUCUAAGCACGAAACUUGCCCCGAGAUGAGUUCUCCCUGACUCCUUGAGAGUCCUGAAGGAACGUUGAAGACGACGACGUUGAUAGGCCGGAUGUGUAAGCGCAGCGAUGCGUUGAGCUAACCGGUACUAAUGAACCGUGAGGCUUAACCUU
rnacentral:rRNA from 1 species